GAUGAAGAACGUAGUGAAAUGCGAUACUUGGUGUGAAUUGCAGAAUCCCGUGAACCAUCGAGUCUUUGAACGCAAGUUGCGCCUCAAGCCAUUAGGUUGAGGGCACGUCUGCCUGGGCGUCACAUAUCGUUGCCUGAUGCCAGUUUCCUCGUGAUGGGUGACUGUGCAGGGCGAAUGAUGGCUUCCCGUGAGCAUUGUUGCCUCAUGGUUGGUUGAAAAUUGAGUCCUUGGUAGGGAGCGCCGUGAUAGAUGGUGGUUGAGUGACGAACGAGACCCAAUCAUGUGAGACCCCUACCGAAUUUGGCCUUCAUGACCCACAUGCGUCUUUGGAACGCUCAUGACGAGACCUCAGGUCAGGCGGGGCUACCCGCUGAGUUCAAGCAUAUCAAUAAGCGGAGGA
rnacentral:misc_RNA from 1 species